UACGGAGGGUGCGAGCGUUGUCCGGAAUCACUGGGCGUAAAGGGCGCGUAGGCGGCCUGAUAAGUAGGGGGUGAAAUCCUGCGGCUUAACCGCAGGGCUGCCUUCUAAACUGUCAGGCUCGAGCACAGUAGAGGCAGGUGGAAUUCCCGGUGUAGCGGUGGAAUGCGUAGAUAUCGGGAGGAACACCAGUGGCGAAGGCGACUACCUGGCCUGUUCUUGACGCUGAGGCGCGAAAGCUAGGGGAGCAAACGGG
rnacentral:rRNA from 1 species